AUGCCGUCCCCGCCCUCGGUCAACGGCGCCAAUGUCAGUGCCAGCACCAGCAGCGUCUGGGCCACGUCGCAGAGCCUCCUCGGCAGCAUGUUCGCGCCGUCUUCCGUGGCCCAGGCGCCGCAGUACCCGGAGUGCGCACUGGCCGCCAAGCCCCCGUUGCUGUGCCUCGCGACCGACGCCGCGUCCGCCCAGUUCUCGGCCCCCGCGGCUGACAGUCAGCAGCAGCUCCCGCCGCCGUCGCCGUCCCCGUCCGCGCACAUGUCCGCCAUGGCGCUGCUUCAGAAGGCGGUGCAGAUGGGCGCCACCUCGUCGAGCUCCUCGUUCCUGCGUGGGCUGGGCCUGGACAUCUCGUCGUCGUCGCCGGCGUCGACGUCGUCAGCUCCGAUGAUGUCGGCCGGGCUGGGCCUCGGUUUACCAUACGACUCUACCGGCGGUCCGAUGGGGUUGCCGGAGCUCAUGAUGGGCCAGUCAUCGCUGUUCAGUGCCAAGUCGGCCACGCUGGACUUCCUGGGGCUCGGGAAGAGCCCCACCGGCGCAACGACGAGCAGGGGCCUCCCCGUGUUCAUGCAGCCCAUGGGCGGCGCGGUCGGCAUGGCCCGGACCGGCAGCGGCGCGGCGGAGACGUUCGGCUCCGGCCGGGAUGCUCAGGCCAAGCCGUGA
rnacentral:rRNA from 1 species